rnacentral:lncRNA from 1 species
GCUUCUGCAUGCACAUACAGAAAAAUGAAAGGGCCACCAAAAGGCAUCUCUCUGGACCUUUCACCAGCUUGAGGAGACACUUCAGACCUCAAGUCUGAGUGGACGAUCCAGAGAAGCAGCUGCUUCUCUACAUUUAGGAUGAAGAGGAAGAUUUCCUUCACUGGCUGAGGCAGUAGCGCUUCUGCUGAUGGCUGCAGAGAUGACCUCAAGUCUCCAAACUGGUCUGGACAUCGCUGGCCAAAGGAACCUGAGAAAUGGAGUGACAAGAUCUGGAAGUGAGGAAGCUAAGAUGGACUGAAAGUCUUUUGGAUGCUCUUGGCACCGAGUAGUAAUACAGGCUUUUGGAGUUGAGACUACUGAGGUGAAGACUGUGUCAAAGAGGUCAUAAAUAAAGCCACUGCUUUGGAUAAUUAAUAUAUAGUGCUAUGAUACUUUUCAGGUUGAGACUAUUAAUUUUUGAUAAAAUGCUAUGUAUAUUCAUACAGGAACUCAUUUAGAAAAUGGCUUUCAUAUAAACAUUUGAGGAACACCUUAUUUUCCUUCUCAGCUUUAAUUGAAUAAUUUUAAUACAAGCAAAUUAAGUAAAAUAAGGUCUAGGCUUCUUUGCAAAGCAAUAGUUCACUAAGUUUAGCUAGAUGUAUGCUUAAUGAAAAACCUUAAUUUUUUUCAUAGGUGGAGAAACUGAGACAAUAGUUGUUUAUGAAAUAAUUCAGACUACAUAUUUAGAUUUCCCAGCCACUUCUGAAUGUAUUAGUAAGUUAGCUGGCAUCAAGUCUCAACCAUGAGCAAUGAAAGAAAAUGAUGCCCCAAAGACUAACAAUUUUUUUUUCCAGGCCUAAAGAUAAGGACCAAGGCUUAUAUUUUUAUAAUGAGAAUAAAAA